GGGGUCGUGUCUGUUUGAAAAUUUAAGAAGCAGAUGAUGUCUGAGAAUAUUCCUGAAGCUCAGAUUCCAAGGACCAGCGGAAUUGACCAGAAGGAACCUCAGAAAGGAAACAGGAGGGGAGAGCUGGAGAAAGCUGGACGGCAGCUGUGUUGACCGGAGGAACCUCGAGGAGCUGAGAGAAGGAGAGGAUCGCCACAGGCAAAUGCUGGCCAAUGCCACGUCCGACUCCCAGCCUUUCCCAAGUGGCCCGUUGGCUCCCGGUGCUCCACUCACAGCCCACAGAGGCCCGCAAGUGUCCGGGGGUCCCCUGGGCCACCAGC